GUGAUCUGAAAGGGGAAUGGCAUGUCUCUCAGCAGCUCCACCGGGAGCCUCUGACCAGCCAUGUUGUCCCCACAGCUCCACCCAGGCCUCAGGCCAGCCACGUUAAGCAAGGCCUCAUAGAUGCACUUUCAUUUCCCCUCAACGCCAAGCCCUUAAUUAGCAACACCUCUCUCAGUUCUGCUCUCAGUCUUUGCAGAGCCGGGGUCAAGAGAAGAAAUGGUGUCUCCACCAUUACUGGUUAGAAGCCAGAGCAACAAACUAUUAGAGUGCUAGAUGUAGUUCUGCUUUCAAAGAAGAUAAACAAGAUGGCUGGGUUUGGGUUAGGUCCAGAAAUUUCUCUGAGUUCUGUGGUGAAGUCUGGAGACAAAGCGAGAGCAGCUUCCCAGUCAGAGUUCACGGUAUGAUUCCCACUUCCUACUUUAGGACCCUCAGAUGCCUGAACAGUACAUUUCACCUUGUCCAUCCAAAUUCCACCUGGCCCUCUCCCUACAUGGCUACCUCUUGGUCUCUGCCACAGCAGGGGUAUUCAUAUCAUGGGUGAGGUCUAUGCUAACUCUGGAGAACACAGUCGAGGGCCGAGUCACACGUAGAUCAGCGGUUCUCAACCAGAGGAUUGCCACCCUUUCAACAGGGGUUACCUAAGCCCGUCGGAAUGCACAGAUAUUUAUAUUCUGAUUCAUAACGGUAGCAACAUUACAGUCAUGGAGUAGCAGCAAAAACAAUUUCAUAGUGUGUGUGGGGUCACCAAUACACUAGGGACGGUGUUAAAGGGUCGUAGCAUUAGGACAGUGCUCUGAUCUACUGGAACCGUUGGCCUAGAUGGAAGUCUAGGGUUCUGAGUAGGCAUGUCCCUAUGUCCCAGGGGAAAAGGCAGGCCAAGUGAAGGUGCUUUCUGAAGCGUGGAUCUCUUCCCUUCACACUUCCUGUAGACUACCUCUUUGAAGAGGUAGCCAUGAAGGGACAGGAAAGAGUCCCCUCACAGCAGUUUAGACUCAGGCUCUGGAGAGAACUGAGAGCCAGUUGGGGAAAGGCAGGACCUGGGAGUCUGCCCUAGCUCUGUCCCACUGCUCCCCACCCCCAAUUGAAAGUAACUCUUAGAGGACAGGAAUUCCAUGGUUUACACAUCUAGGUGACAGUCCAGCAUUGAAGGAAGUCGGGGCGGGGUGCUGAGCAGGGACUCAAAGCAGAACAUAUAUAGCCCAGGAUCACAUGCCUAGGGCCGGUACUGCCCACAGGCCAAAAUAAUGGAGGCAAUGCCUCACUGGAGGGUCUCUCUCCCCAGGUGGCUCUAGUUUGUGUCAAGUUGGCAGUGAAAACCAGCCAGCAUUUUGUCUGAGCGAGUACAGGUGUGUACCCCCCUCACCUCCCGCGCCCCAUGUCGUUAUCAGUGCCGAAUGUGUAUCUGAGGUCUUGGGGGAUCAAGCCCAAGCUGCAACCUGCAAUCUUACGUGAGCUUUCCCUGUGACAGUUUCAGGAUAAACCCAGAUAGCUCCCUACUGGCAGUCUGCUCGCUACGGAAACCAGGGUAUUCUUGGGACCCGCCGUGGUCCCCUGGCUCUGAUCUGCUUGUCCGAGGCUCCAGACACUGUCCUGUCAGUAUGACGUCAUUGCUAAAUUGACCUUCAGAGAAAACCCACAGUGGACUUUGUGAAUUGCCUCGGAGUCAUUGAUGAAGUCGAUCUUGAUGGCGUCAUUCUGAAGUGAGGGAAACUAGGAUGGGAACCUUAGGCAGAGGAAGCAGGUCCUUGGAACUGUCCCCUUGGAGAAGUCAAUCUUGACCCAGUUACUCCAUCUUUUCUGGCUGGCUGUCUUGAGGUGAUCAGCUUUCCUGUGCUAUGCCCCUCCUCCAUCUUCCUGCUGUGCCACAAGCCAAGAGCAACCAAGGCAGCUGAUGUGAACCCCUGAAACCACGAGCUAAAAGAAAACCACAACCCCCUUCAAGUUACGCUGGGAAUUGGGUCACUGUGGAGACACCAAAACACAAUGAAGUCGUCCAUGAAGUUUAGGUGGACAUCUUAGUGUGCUUCUGAGUAGGAGAAAAAUGAAAUUGGCCUCAAGUGGCUUAUCAGGGAGAUGAAUUAAAUCUACCUGGUUCAUCUACAGUAACACUGUACUUCAGAAGUGAUACUAACAACUGUGUAUAAUAAAGAUAUCACACAUAUCCAUCUCUAUAUGAUCUAUAUCACCUCUAUCUACCUCUAUCUACACACACACACACUCUCACACACACACUCACACACACUCACACACACAUUCACACAUUCACACACUCACACACACGCACACACACUCACACACACGCUCUCUCACACACACACGCACAUGCUCUCACACACACACUCACACAUAGACUCACACACACACUCACACACACUCACACACACACACGCACACACUCACACACACUCACACACACACGCACACGCUCUCACACACACUCACACACACGCACACGCUCUCACACACACUCACACACUCACACAUAGACUCACACACACACUCACGCACACUCACACAAACACGCACACACACAUACACACACAUACAAACAAAUAAUUAAUGUAAAAAUGACAUAUAAUAAAUAAUGUGGAAAUAGAAGAUAAUGUUACUUUAUAAAUCACACGAAUGGAAAGCGGUCAGUAAAGUUUAAAAAAGAAAUGUUACUAAAUUAGUAAGGGAGAUUACUAAUGACUGGUAAAAUUUUGAGCGUGUGUUCUAAAGGAUCGAACUUCUAUUUUCUUUUUUAGAUUUUAUUCUUAUUUCCUGGGAGAAUGAGUAGCUUCUUUGUAUGCAUGCAUGUGCCGUACUUGUGUGCCUGGUGCCUGCAGAGGCCAAGAGAAAGUGCUAGGUCCCCUGGAACUAGAGUUACAGAUGGUUCUGACCCACCAAAUAGAUGCUGGGAAUUGAACCUGGGUCCUAUGGAAAAGAAGCCGUUAACCGCUGAGCCAUUUCACCAGCCCGUGGUUCUGUUUUCUAAUAUAACGCGAUCGCAGUUUGUACAUGUAAUCAAGGCAAAUUUUACAUCGAGAAUGCAUACUAAAAGUUAGGUUUUCAAAAAGUCGUCGACUGUGUCAGCUUGGCAGGAUGCAAUGGAGACUGCUCCAUGGAAUCUGAGGUCAAUUUCUGCUUGUGUGAGAGGGAACCAGUCACAGGCAGGCAAAAGACCAGAGUCCUAAGAUUCAUUCUCCAGGGUCCCCCUUAGAUAAGGGCCCCUCGGUGGGUGGGGUAAGGCAGGUCAUCCUGCCCCUGCCUCCCUCUGAACCUUUGGAUCGGUGAGCACCGGGAAGCUAUUGACGCGGUGCCAAGGAUGCCGAAGCUCUCUUCGCCUGGAAAGGGGUUAGUAGUAGCACAGGGAACUUUCUGGUUUGACUCUUGUUGAAAGCCUGAAAGCCGUGAGAAGUCAUAGCCAGGGUGGUUAGUGAGGGUGCGGCCAGUGACUUCACCUCAGGCCUUGCUGGAAGCCCUCCCCGCAGUGACUCAUCCCUUACUGGACAGGCAAUCUUUUCUGGAGUAAGCACAAGUCAACAAGGCCUCCAUCAACUAAUUCUAUAGCAAUCACCUCUCACAUUACCGUCCUGCCUCCAGAGUCCCUGAAGUUGUGGCAGAAGGUAAUUGCCCUGGCCCUCUGCCAUGGGCUACCUCACCAGCAGGGUCUCCCCCCCCCCCCCUCGCAGCAGGAAUAAGAAGCCCCUGGAGGAUUUGAAUGAUACCAUGGAGGUGGGAGGUUGCCAGAACUCUGCCCUUAAGCCCUUCCCCACGGGAGCUAGAGAAGUUUCUCUGCUUCCUUCUCCCAGGAGGCUCCACGGAGGAAACAGCAGUUGGGCAGAAAGAGCCACUCCAGAAGCUCUCAGCUCAAGCAAGGUGCUCUGUGAGGGUCUGAGACAGGGGCCAAGGAAGAGAUUCUCUCUCAGUAGCAGGGGCGUGUCUGAGAUGGGCCCCCAUGAUAGGUGCUGUGGCUGGCAGGUGAGGAAGAGGCUUCAGCUCUCCUUUACACACUGCCCUCAGCCUUCCUGAGCAUACGAAGCCUCUCGUACAGCAGAGGCUGGACCCUGGGGUUCCUGCCAGCGGUCCCACAGACUCCUACCCGCAACCGCUACUUUUCCGGGUCACUGAAAAGGUUCCUCCUGCCCGUAUAAAGAGUUAGCUCCACCAGGUUUCACCCUCCCACUUCCCCCACACUGGCCCAGAGUUUCCCAGUAAGCACCACUACGUUGCUGACUGCCUCCCUGGCAGCGUUUACACCUGAGCCUGACUAUGCUGACGCUGACGGUGUUGGCUGGGGCAACAGUAGGUUGCUCUGUGCACUGAUCGUUCAAGAGAGCCAGUCUUGGGUGAGAGCCAGGCGGGUGCUAAGCCACGUUGUAUUAACGUGUCCCAUGGCUUUAUAGGCGUGUGCCACCACACCAACACUGCUUAGUAUCGGGCAUAAAGUAUUUUUGGAGGUUUCUAAAACACCACGUCUGUGGGUGCUCUCCUAUGGACUCUGAGACUGACUCCCAAGGGCUGCACACGGGGACACUCAGCACCUAGUCCUAUCCCCUGCUUCAAAGCCCUCUCCCACCACCCACCCCCGCUCUGCCAUGGCUUCCUUCCCCUGGCUGUCUUCAUGUUGCCAGCUCCUCCUCGUGCUUCAAGAUGGGGCCCCAACCACACUUCUGUCAGGCCUUCAUGUGCCCUCUCCCCAUAAAUAAAUAAAUAAAUAAAUAAAUAAAUAAAUAAAUAAAUAAAUAAAUAAAUAAAUAAAUAAAUGUACUAUUUUUAAAAAAAUCUUUUUAAUAAAUUCCAGCUCUGUCUCAAGGGGAAAAAUAUUAACACCGGUUAUGGAUGGAAGCUGGUUUUCUAGAAACUGGGAAGAGACUAGACACCGACACGAGUUUUUAAAGAAAAAUUGCCAGAGUGACCUGAUUUUCUCAGGAAAUCGAGCAGACAGUAUCCCUGGCUUUCAGCAGGAUGCCUGGGAAGGGGGCUGGAAGAACAUAGCCGCGUGACAGAAUAGCUGUGCUCCUGGCCCAUGUCUGAGACAGCUGCACAGCCUGGGAGGUCUGGUGUGGGCAGCUUGGGGACUUGGGACCUGUCCUGACUUCACAGCUACUAACGACUUAAAUAAGGAUGCUUAGACCCCAGAGAAUCAAGAGCCCAAAGAAUGGGCCAACGUCACCAAGAAGAAGACAUGGUGGGGGCAUGCAGUGUCCGAGGACAGCAUGCGAGUUCAGGGCACAGCUCACUGUGUCAGUGUGAUGGCUGCCCAACCCAGUACACUUCCAGGCAGUGAUCCAAGAGAACAUCGGGGCCAAGGUCACUGUGAGCUGAGCAUGCAACCUAGGAUUUAAAGAGACUGGCCAGGACUGCAAGUGUGUGCCUCCUGGGCAGCGGAAAGGAGCGGUGGUGUCUUGUGAGGGGAGAGCUGGUAGGCUGAGGGCCCCAAGUCACUGCCCAACCCACCGUGCCUGGAAUAAGGCGAAAAGAGACUCAGGAAAGUCUGCUUCCCAGCCUGCGUGUUCUGGUGUGGGGGCCCCGCCUUCUGAGGAGGGUCCUGAGAGAUGUGCAGCCCAGCACCCCACAGGGCAUGCGCUUAGAUUUGUCUUCCUGAUCAAGCCCUCUGCUGAACCCUGAAGAGACUCCAUCCGCCACAGCAAUGGCUCUAAUGGCACUGGGAUAUGGGAAGCCUCACUGUCAGGGUCAGAACCUCAAUCUGUGGGUCUCUGAGGACAGAGGAGCUAUGGUGAAGAUCCUAUCUCACAGCGAAGACCAAGUACAACUUAGUGACAGCUGAGCAAACACAAGCUGCCUGGGGUCAGGGCACUCUGGUUGUGAGCGAGCUCUUGGUUCCCACAGAUCUAGGAAAAAGAAGAAAAAACAGAUCAGUGAGACAUCACAAAACACGGAAUGCCACCAAGGGCGAGACUGCAGCUCUCAAAGGACACAUCUAACACGGCCAUCAGAACUAAGCAAAGACCAUCAUGGCUGAUGCCUAGGAGAUGAGGAACACACGAGGUGACUCAGAGCACUGUGGUAGAAGCUACGGGAAACGUAACUGUCUUCCAUUUGGGAUCAUUAUCAAUUAUGGCGUCCCUUCCAACGGAGCAGUAUGCAACUGUUCACAGGAAGAAACUCUUCCAAAAUCGAUAGAAAAGUUUGACGCUGUGGAGGUUCGAAUAUGCUUGGCCUGUGGCAAGUGCGGCUGUUAGGAGAUGUGGCUUUGUGGAGGAAGCGUGUCACUGUGGGGGUGGGUUUUGAGGUUCUAUGCUUGAGCUCCACCCAGGGCAGAAGAGAGAAAGAGCCUCCUCCUGGCUGCCUACAGAGGAGUCUUAUUCUGGUUGCCUUCAGAUCAAGAUGUAGAACCCUCAGUUCCUUCUCCAGCGCCAUGCCUGCCUGCACGCUGCCAUGUUUCCCGCCGUGAUGAUAAUGGUCUGAACCUCUGAACCUGUAAGCCAGCCCCAAUUAAAGGUUGUUCUUAAAAGAC